rnacentral:rRNA from 1 species
UUUGUAGUGGAUGCUUCGGGCAACAAGAGAUCUAAUUCGCUNGUANCAGCGGGUCAAAGAGGGUGAGACUUCCGUAUAGGAUGAAGUUCCGAAUNCAUGUGAAGCUCCUUGGGCCAGUCGAGUGAAUCGGGAACGCAGCUGUCAAGGGCGGGUAAAUUUCAUCUAAAGCUUAGUAUUGACCAGAGUCGGAGAGGGCACAAGUAGAGUGAUCGAAAGAUGAAAAUCCUUCCGCAAAGUGAGUUAAGCAGUAUGUGUAAUUCAUGAAAGGGAAGCGCUUGCAAUCAGACCUUGUGGCAGACGGUUCCCCCAGCCCCCGUGGCCGGNCUACUCCGUCGUGUUCAGGCCAACAUCGGUGUGGGUGGCCGGUUAAAGACCCCGGGAANNGUCUACCUUCGGGUCGAGGUGCAGUCCGGGGUCGAAUGCGGCCCACCCGGCCCGAGGAACUCGUUUCGGCUCUAAAGGCGUCGUAAGGGUCGCAAGCGGCC